CCUACGGGUGGCAGCAGUGAGGAAUAUUGGUCAAUGGACGAGAGUCUGUACCAGCCAAGUAGCGUGAAGGAUGACUGCCCUAUGGGUUGUAAACUUCUUUUAUAAAGGAAUAAAACGAGGCACGUGUGCCUUUUUGCAUGUACUUUAUGAAUAAGGAUCGGCUAACUCCGUGCCAGCAGCCGCGGUAAUACGGAGGAUCCGAGCGUUAUCCGGAUUUAUUGGGUUUAAAGGGAGCGUAGAUGGGUUGUUAAGUCAGUUGUGAAAGUUUGCGGCUCAACCGUAAAAUUGCAAUUGAUACUGGCAGUCUAGAGUACAGUUGAGGUAGGCGGAAUUCGUGGUGUAGCGGUGAAAUGCUUAGAUAUCACGAAGAACCCCGAUUGCGAAGGCAGCUUACUAGACUGUGACUGACAUUGAUGCUCGAAAGUGUGGGUAUCAAACAGGAUUAGAUACCCCUGUAGUC
rnacentral:rRNA from 1 species